AAGAAGAAGAUGAUGCUGGCUGCUGUGAAACGCGUUCACAAGAGUUCUAACAGUUCGGACAUUGUGUGAAUCAGAUAUUCUGUGACCAUUUCCAAGCACUGUACUGUUGAGAGACUGCAACAAGACAAGUCACCUACAUCAUGGAUGCCCUGAGGUGUUUCCAGACUUGAUGAUGACUGUAGUCUGUGGUGCACGACUCAGCAGCGCAACAACAGACUGACGAAUUUUAGCCACUUCAUGUACAUAAAAAGAUAGUUGACUAAAAACGCGGUGGGCAGCGAAUGUGAAGACAACGACUGCAUGAGAAUCACCAGCUAUUUCAUCAAUAUCAUCGUUGAUAUAAUGCAGCCAUCAGGGGUCCACCUGUACGAGGAGUGUGGAGGUCCAUUCUUUUUAAACCUAAAAAAUAUAAGCAAAACUGACAUUAUACUUACUACUUUAUUAAUUUCUUAAACAGCAGUCCCAAGAAGUAUACUGGCAAAUAAGGAAUAGUUCACUCAAAUAUCACCCAUUUACUUUCCUUCAUGUAAUUUCAAAACUGUUUGACUUCUCCUUCUUUUUCAGAACACAGAAAAAAAACGUGUCAAUUUUCUUUUUUUAUAUAAUGAAAGUCAACAGGGUCCAAUGUUGUUCUGGACACCAUUGACUUUCACUAUUAGAAGAAAAAUAAAUAAAUAUAGGAAGUUUGGAACAUCAAAGAAAUAAAUUACUAAUAAUGAA